rnacentral:RNase_P_RNA from 1 species
UGAGGAGGCCAAGCGGCCGCCGGCCCCCCGUAGCGAAAGCGUUGGGGGGCGGGAGGAAAGUCCGGGCUCCGCAGGGCAGGGUGCCGGGUAAUCCCCGGUGGGGGCGACCCCGAGGACAGCGCCACAGAAAAGACACCGCCAUCCGGCGGCAAUAAGCCGGGCGGCAAGGGUGAAAAGGUGAGGUAAGAGCUCACCGCGCGCCGGGCGACCGGAGCGGCACGGCAAACCCCACCCGGAGCAAGACCGAAUAGGAGGGCAACUCCGCGGAACGCAUGCGGGGGAAGGGCGGCCCGCCCGGAGCCCUCGGGUCAAGGUCGCUGGAGACGGGCGGCAACGUCCGUCCUAGAGAAAUGGCCGUAACGCGGCAUCAAAACCGCGCACAGAACCCGGCUUACGGCCUCCUCAAGCC